UGGGGAAUAUUGGACAAUGGGCGCAAGCCUGAUCCAGCCACGCCGCGUGAGUGAAGAAGGCCUUCGGGUUGUAAAGCUCUUUCAGACGGAAAGAAGUCUUCUGGGCUAAUACCCCGGGAGGAUGACGGUACCGUAAGAAGAAGCACCGGCUAACUACGUG
rnacentral:rRNA from 1 species